UACAGAGGUCCCAAGCGUUGUUCGGAUUCAUUGGGCGUAAAGGGUGCGUCGGCGGUGCCGUAAGUCGGAUGUGAAAUCCCGGGGCUCAACCCCGGAACUGCACUCGAUACUGCGGUGCUCGAGGACUGGAGAGGAGACUGGAAUUCACGGUGUAGCAGUGAAAUGCGUAGAUAUCGUGAGGAAGGCCAGUAGCGAAGGCGGGUCUCUGGACAGUUCCUGACGCUGAGGCACGAAGGCUGGGGGAGCAAACGGG
rnacentral:rRNA from 1 species